rnacentral:rRNA from 1 species
AGCGUAGACGGUGUGGCAAGUCUGAUGUGAAAGGCAUGGGCUCAACCUGUGGACUGCAUUGGAAACUGUCAUACUUGAGUGCCGGAGGGGUAAGCGGGAUUCCUAGUGUAGCGGUGAAAUGCGUAGAUAUUAGGAGGAACACCAGUGGCGAAGGCGGCUUACUGGACGGUAACUGACGUUGAGGCUCGAAAGCGUGGGAGCAAACA